GGCUUAGAACUAACGCUGGCAGUGCGUCUUAAGCAUGCAAGUCAAACGGGAUGUAGCAAUACAUCUAGUGGCGAACGGGUGAGUAACGCGUGGAUGAUCUACCUAUGAGAUGGGGAUAACUACUAGAAAUAGUAGCUAAUACCGAAUAAAGUCAAUUAAUUUGUUAAUUGAUGAAAGGAAGCCUUUAAAGCUUCGCUUGUAGAUGAGUCUGCGUCUUAUUAGCUAGUUGGUAGGGUAAAUGCCUACCAAGGCGAUGAUAAGUAACCGGCCUGAGAGGGUGAACGGUCACACUGGAACUGAGAUACGGUCCAGACUCCUACGGGAGGCAGCAGCUAAGAAUCUUCCGCAAUGGGCGAAAGCCUGACGGAGCGACACUGCGUGAAUGAAGAAGGUCGAAAGAUUGUAAAAUUCUUUUAUAAAUGAGGAAUAAGCUUUGUAGGAAAUGACAAAGUGAUGACGUUAAUUUAUGAAUAAGCCCCGGCUAAUUACGUGCCAGCAGCCGCGGUAAUACGUAAGGGGCGAGCGUUGUUCGGGAUUAUUGGGCGUAAAGGG
rnacentral:rRNA from 1 species